AUUCUACUACCUCUGUCCGAAAAUACUUGUUCUAGAGAUGAAUAUAUCUAGACUUAUUUUAAUUAUAGAUACAUCAAUUAUAUACAUUUUUAGGAUAGAUAUUUCCGGACGGAGGGAGUAGCAA
rfam:Hordeum vulgare subsp. vulgare, WGS project CAJW01000000 data, contig: morex_contig_140742